GGUAUUACUGUGACGUCAUCGCCCAGUCGAACCGGCCACCUCAGCUGAGUUGGUCGUGUAGAAGAAACUAGUGCGUGCCUUACACAUAUAUGCAUUUUAAAUACACAUUACAGUAUAUCCUAGUUUAAACAAAUAUAGUUUUAACCAGCAAGGAGCAGCUUUACAACAAAUAUAAGAUCAGGUGAAACAGACGAGGAACCAGCAGCAUGUUUGGCUUCCUGAAGAAUGUUGUGGAGGAUGUAGUAGACAGCGCCCAGGAUGAGAGAAACCGACCCAACAACCCUCCACAAGGUUAUUAUGGCGGGGCUCAUGACGGACAGUAUGGCGGAGGGCCACAGUAUGGAGGUCAAAAUCAAUAUGGUGGCAGUGGCCAGCAGGAAUAUUAUGGUGGGGGUCAUCAGCGAGGAGGUGGAGCAGACCUGGUGUCAGGUUUAAUUGGUGGAUUCCUUGGUGGUGGUGAGAAAAACCAGCCACAAGGUGGUGGCCAAUAUGGGCCUGGUCCAUAUGGUCCUCCUCAGGGUCAGUAUGGAGGUGGCCCAUAUGGCCCUCCUCCAGGUCAGUAUGGUGGAGGUUAUGGCCCUCCACAAGGUCAGUAUGGACCAGGAGGACAGGGAGGGUAUGGGCCACCACCAGGCCAAUAUGGACCAGGACAGGGAGGGUAUGGGCCACCACCAGGCCAGUACGGACCAGGCGGACAGGGAGGGUAUGGGCCACCACCAGGGCAGCAGCAAGGUGGCGGUGCAGACAUGGCAGGCAUGGCAGCAAACCUCAUCGGUGGGAUUUUUGGUGGUGGUGGCGGCAGUGGUGGUGGUUAUGGUCAGGGGCAACAAAGGAAUGAUGGUAUGAGUGACCUUAUAUCUGGAAUGGCUUCAAACUACAUUGGUGGGAUGGUUAGUGGCAACCAGAGUAACACAACAAGUAACAAGCAAGUUAACACUAACAACGAUUUGGUUUCGAGUAUCACAUCUGGACUCGUCCAGGGAUUGUUCAGUGGACAGGCAGGUGGGCAAGGUAGCUAUGGCAACACAAGCAGUGCUGGACAGAAUCAAGUUGUUACCAGCAUUGCUUCAGCUGUCAUCAAAGGCUUAUUCAGCAGUGAAGGUGGACAGGGUGGAGGCAUAGCUGCUGCCAUGCAGAAGUGUGGAAUGAAUCAGAACAUGCUGGCUGGUAUUGCAUCCAGUAUCUUUUCUGCAUUUAUGAGCAACAACCAGGCCAAGCAGAAUGUUGCCAAUGCUCCUCCACCUGCCAACGAUUCUGUUAUUGCCAACGUUACUACCAAUGUUAUCAAAGGGUUAAUCAGCGACGACAAGGGUAACAUUAAUCAGAUUCAGAAAACUGGAGUGAACGAAGACGUGGCUGGAGCCAUAGCUUCAAAUGUUGCUAAGGGUCUCUUCAGUGGUAAUGAGAUGGAUUCAGCAUACAAGAGUGCAUCUCCAGCUGCCAAUGAGGAACUAAUAAGCUGUAUAACAACCAGUGUUGUGAAGGGUCUCAUAAGCAACAGUCAGGAUUCCGUUGGCAGUGAGAAGGCAGGAGUCAGUGACACAGUCAUCGCAAAUUUGGCAGCUAAUGCUGUUCGUGAAUAUAUGAGCGGGAACAAGGGUGGCCAAGGUGAUGGCUCUGGUGGUGGAGAUUUUGUUUCCAACAUGGCGUCGUCAGUCAUUGGCAAUCUCUUCAGAGGUGAGAGUGGCCAGUCUACCACAGAGAGGACUGGCCUCAACAGUGGAAUGGUCUCGAGCAUUGUGGCCAGUGUUGUCAGGAAUGUCAGGGGUCGACCUCAAGCACCGGGAGGUGAGAUUGAUGGUGUUAAUGAUGAUAUUGUGGCAGCAGUAACCUCUUCAGUCAUCAAGGAAAUCAUCAGUCAGGACACUGAGGGAAAAAUUCUCCCAUCGAAUGAUGCAAAUGCCAAUAGUCCAAUCGUCGCCAGUAUUGCUUCUAAAAUCGUCCAAAAUAUAAUGAGUGAGGAGAGUAAUGAUGAGAGAGUGAAAGCCGUCCAGCGAGGUGAGGUCGACAGCAGCUUCUUGAAUGGAAUCAUCUCCAGUGUGAUUAGUGGAAUGAUCGGUGGCCGACAAGGUGGUGGAGGUGGUAGUGGUGGAAUUGGUAAUGAUCUGAUAUCUGGUAUGGCUUCCCAGUACAUCGGUAAUUUGAUAAGUGGAGGAGGAGGAGGACAAAGCCAAAGACCACAAAAGACUGAAGAUGAUGUUCUCUCUGGUAUUGCUUCAAGUGUUAUUGGAGGCCUUGUUGGUGGUGGAGGCGGUGGAGGCAGCCAGCCAACACAAUCUGGAGGUGCAAUUGCUUCAAAUAUUAUUGGCAAGAUUGUCAGUGGCGGUGGCGGUGGUGGCGGAGUUUCAGACGAUCUUAUUAGCCAGAUUGAUGUCCAUGGGCCAGGACCAGUACCUACCAGACCUUCCUUACCAGGUGGGCCCUCAGGUAUCCCAAGAGGUUUUCCUGGAAUACCCGGGAGCCUACCUGGACAGCCAGGGGGUCAGGUGGGGCCAGUGACGUCUAUGUACCGAGCCAUUGCCGCCACAGCCGUGGAGGCUGUCAUAGGCAACAAACUGGGCGAAGGUGUGAUCGGUGAUGUUGUCAAGGCGACCUCCACCGAUGUCUUAGCUGAGGUCAUGGAGGGUGCAGUGGGGGCUCAGUUCUCUAGGAAGGAGGAUGGAGAGAUCGUUGAAAAUCUGAGCCAAACCCAAGUUGAUCCCUCAAAGCACCGCAUCUUCCCUGAUGCUGCAGGGUCAAGGUGGCCCAUGCAAGCAAGAUUUGGUCUUUCUCCAAGUUCACUGAUCUCAUCGUUCAUGAGUAAGGGUGCUUACCACCUGAGGAAUCGUCUUUUCCAGGGAGGUCGUGCAAGGGAAGCUUUUGUCAGUCCAGCCCAUGCUGUCUUUAGGUUUGGGGAGCGAGGAUCAGGACUGCGGCCCAGAGGAGAAAUACAGGACUUCUACAGUCUCCGUCAGCAGUGCCUUGAUGAGGGUACUCUUUUUGAAGAUCCAGAGUUCGCUGCUGAGGAUUCUUCUAUCUUCUUCUCCCGCUCUCCUCCCAAACCCUUCGAGUGGAAGCGCCCCCAUGAGAUCAUGGCCUUAAAGGAAAUCACAGAUGAGCCCCAACUCUUUAUUGAUGGUGCCUCACGCUUUGAUGUUAAGCAAGGAGAACUGGGUGACUGUUGGCUUUUGGCAGCUGUGGCCAACUUGACCUUGAACAAGCGUCUCUUCUACCAGAUUGUACCAAGUGACCAAGGAUUUGGAGACAACUAUGCUGGCAUAUUCCACUUCAGGUUUUGGCAGUAUGGACGUUGGGUUGAUGUUGUGAUUGAUGAUCGACUUCCCACCUUCUAUGGCCGUCUUGUUUUUAUGCACUCUGAAGAAAGGAAUGAAUUUUGGUCUGCCCUUCUUGAGAAAGCUUAUGCUAAAUUGCAUGGCUCAUAUGAGGCCCUGAAGGGAGGCACUACUUGUGAGGCCAUGGAAGACUUCACUGGUGGUGUGUCUGAAAUUUAUGACCUCACCAAGGCUCCACCAAAUCUCUUCAACAUCAUGCUAAAGGCUUACGAGCGUGGAUCCCUAAUGGGAUGCUCUAUUGAACCUGACCCAAAUGUAGUGGAGGCUCGCUGUGAUACUGGCCUCAUUCGUGGUCAUGCCUAUUCCGUCACGAGAAUAAAGUAUUGUGAGAUCAACACGCCUAGAGUGUCUGGAAAGAUUCCACUAGUCCGUAUUCGUAAUCCUUGGGGCAAUGAAGCAGAAUGGCAGGGAUCGUGGAGUGACCAGAGUCCUGAGUGGCAGUUUAUUCCUCCAGAGGAGAAAGAAGAGAUUGGUCUGACUUUCGAACAUGAUGGAGAGUUCUGGAUGUCCUUUAAAGACUUCUUAAGAAAUUUCACAAUGCUGGAAUUAACCAACUUGAACCCAGACUCCCUGGAUGAUGAGGACAUAGCUGGAGCUGUUAAGCACAAAUGGGAGAUGAGUGUGUUUGAAGGAGCUUGGAUUCGUGGCUCCACAGCUGGUGGCUGUAGAAACUUCUUGGCUACAUUCUGGCACAAUCCUCAGUACAGAAUCACACUGACAGAAGUCGAUGACGAUGAUGAUGACAACAAGUGUACUGUUAUUGUAGCUCUCAUGCAGAAGAACCGCCGGUCACAGAGAAAGCUGGGUCUAGAGUGCCUUACAAUUGGUUUUGCCAUCUAUCAUCUACGAGAUCCAGAGAAUGCUCCACGUCCCCUAGAUUUGAACUUCUUCAAGUACAGUGCAUCAGUGGCACGUUCUCCUUCUUUCAUCAACAUGCGUGAGGUGUCAUGCCGCUUCAAACUUCCCCCUGGCACAUACUGCAUUGUUCCAUCAACAUUUGAAGCCAAUGAGGAAGGAGAGUUCAUUCUUAGAGUGUUCUCCGAGAAGGCUAAUGAGAUGGAAGAAAACGAUGAAAGUGUUGGCUUUGGACAAGUAGAUGAGAGGGAUGAACAAGAUGGAGGCAAAUUUCGAAGCUCAUUGGUACGUAAAGUACGGCCAGAGGCAGAUGAAUCUCAGGAGCCUGAGGUAGAUGAGAGGAUUCGUGGGUUCUUCAGGAAGGUGGCAGGAGAAGACCUGGAGAUUGAUUGGAAGGAGUUGCAGGAUGUACUUAACUUUGCUCUCAAGAGAGAGUUCAACUUUGAGGGAUUCAGCAAGGAUGUAUGUCGCAGCAUGAUUGCCAUGAUGGAUGUAGACCGCUCAGGUAAACUUGGCCUUCAAGAAUUCCUACAACUGUGGACAGAUAUCAGGAUCUGGAAGAAUGCCUUCAAGCUUUAUGAUAAGGACAGUUCUGGCCUUCUGUGCUCCUUUGAGCUUCGGCAAGCACUAAACUCUGCUGGUUACCGCCUGAACAACCACAUCUGCAAUGCUCUUACACUCCGCUACGGUGACAAGGAAGGAAGGAUUUCCUUUGAUGAUUUCAUAAUGUGUUCUGUGAAGCUCAAAACAAUGAUGGGCCUUGAAGAUGAUCCAGAGAAACUGCAAGAAUUCUAUGAUGAACUUAUGGCUGAAGUGGAGGAUAGACCAGAGGAGGAGGAUCAGGAGGAAGAUCAGGAAGAAGAAUAGAAGAAUAAAGCACAGAAAUUUUACUACCCCUAAAAUCUUAACUGGAAAAUAGAUUUUCCAAGAGAGGGAUCCAGAGGCAACCUUAAGUGCCACCUUCACCUUAGAAGAAUGGAUUGAGAAUACGAUGUAUUCUUAAAAACUUGGACUUGUUGCUUAUGAUAACAUGAGUAAUGGUUUAGCUUCUCCAAAUUUAUAUCUGGUUUAUAUCUUAAACUCACAGAGUAUUACCAGUCAGGAACUGAACAGGAUGAUGCGAUGUACAAAAGUUAUUGUUAAAUAUAGAUAAUAUUGUAAACCAUUUUUUUAACUUAUAUGAAAAGCUGCACUUCAUUCUAAAGGUAUAACAACUGAUAUUUUAAUGAUUAUGACAAAAUUUAACUAAAAUCUAUUCUGGUUGUAGACAUCCAUUGCCAGUGAUUCUCAAAGAUAUCUUUAGCGUAUCGUAUUAAAAAAAAAUUUGAUCUAAAGCAGUUACUGAGCUGAGGUAGUUGUAUAACUCUUGAGGAUUUAACUCUUUCCAAUGAUCGUGUAAUGAGUUGGCAAUAAAUGUGGCUUUUAGAGAUACAUAAUGCAACACUUCUUGUUUAGACCCCAGGGAAGAAAUGAAAAUACAUAACUUAAAAAGUUAUUAAUUAUCAGGUGUGUGUUCUAGAAUAUUAAGAUUUCCAAUCUAAAUGUAUAUUUAAGUAAUGAUACAGAUAUAAUUUCAGUAUGCUUACUUAAGGUGGCCUUAAGGUAACAUAUAACUAUCUUAAAUCCUGACGACAAUGAUGCAUUCAGCUAGGUCUCACUUCACAUGAAUUUGACUAGUGACAAAUAUACAAAAUUUAGUUUAUUCAGGUUGAUGUCCGAUUUUCGUACCAAAUUUAAAUUUCUUAUGCUUACAUGUAUCUUAUAAUUCUAAAUGACAGCAUUUUAUUGGUGCAUGUGUUGCCAUUAUUUGAUAGAUAUUAGUAGUUUCUUUAUAUAAUGCUGUUAGGCUGUUGCUUUAGUAGUCAUGAAUGCUUUUGCACAAUGUGUUAUGCAUAUGGAAAUGUAAACACAGCAGUGUUGUGUAAUAUACACUGAAUAUCAGUGAAUACAGAAAACAGCCAUAGUCCAUCCAUUUGUAAAACAUUCAUCAGGAAUGUCAAGGUUUGCUCCUGCAUGCUAUUUUAUCAUAAAAAAUAUAUUAAAGAAAAUGUUUGUUUUACAUAUGGUGGGAUAUCACCAGAAUCAGAACUUAUGGUGCUAUAUAUACUGUGUGUAUGUAUGUAUACAUACAUAUUUACAUACAUAAUUUUAACUUAAAUGUUUUAAUGGAAAUAACUUCACAGAAGUCAACACUAUACUGUAUUAACAAAAUAAAACAUGAGCAUGAUUUUCAUUGGAUAUUUUGUGUUAAAUACUGUAGUUGCAGUUUUGGUUUUCACAGUAAAUGCAGUAUGUAUGUGUCUUAGCCAUUAAUAACUUUUUAUAGAUCAUGACAUAAUUUUAACUAUAUUUGUAAUGGUACAGGUAUUAAUUUUUUUAUCAAUAACAUAUGCAUCUGUAUGUCUGACUUAAAAUGUAUAGCAUAGUUGAAAUGUCAGUUUAGUUUUAGAGGGGAAUGAUGUUAUUACUUUGCCAUUUGUGUUUGCUGAAGAAAAUGACUAUAUAUGAAUACUUGAGGCUACCCAUAUUCAAAGUAUCUUAACACCAUAUAACUAGUAGUCUUCUUUACGACAAAAUAUACAUAGUAACACAUUCUAUUGCAGUACUACACAUUAUAAAUCAUUUUUGUAUUUAUGUAUGUAACUUUUAAUUAAUACCUUGUUGAAAUAUUAGAAUUCACCACAAAUUGCUAAAUUGCAAAACUUUUUUUAAUUAUUAAUACAAAGUACUGGUUAUUUAAUCUACAAAAAAGUAUAAAUUAAUAUUAUAGCUUUCUGUUUGUACAUUUAGCCAAUUUAUCAUUUUUCAAAAUAACUGAUUUAUACAGUAUUUACAAAAUACCUAAUAAAAAUGUAAAUUAUAAUGUAUAUCAAGUUACUGGUGACAAAUAUACUGUACAAAUUUAAA